UAACACGUAGGGGGCUAGCGUUGUCCGGAAUCAUUGGGCGUAAAGCGCGUGUAGGCGGUCCGGUAAGUCCGCUGUGAAAGUCGGGGGCUCAACCCUCGGAUGCCGGUGGAUACUGUCGGGCUUGAGUACGGAAGAGGCGAGUGGAAUUCCUGGUGUAGCGGUGAAAUGCGCAGAUAUCAGGAGGAACACCAAUUGCGAAGGCAGCUCGCUGGGACGUUACUGACGCUGAGACGCGAAAGCGUGGGGAGCAAACAG
rnacentral:rRNA from 1 species